UCUGAAUCUGCGAACGGCUCCGCAAACCAGUUGUAAACUAUAGCAAGCAGGCUCGGGGUCGGCCUUCACGGGCUGGCCUCGGGUGAUAUGGAUAACCCUGGUAAUUCUGAGGCUAAUACAUGAACGUAGAACCCGGUUGACUAGGCUUCACGGCCCGGGAUGCUGGGGGAUGUGCGAUUGGCAGGCUUGGGUAACACCGGGAAAGGGCGCGCGUCCAGACCGCGCUAUAAAGGAUGGGCUCCUCACGGGGCCUGCCCCAGCGGCUCUUGCUGUGUGGUUCUGACCUAUCAACUAGACGGCAGCGUAAGGGACAUGCUAUGGU
rnacentral:rRNA from 1 species